rnacentral:rRNA from 1 species
UUGGUUAAGUUAGAAAGGGCGCACGGUGGAUGCCUUGGCACUAGGAGCCGAAGAAGGACGGGACUAACACCGAUAUGCUUUGGGGAGCUGUACGUAAGCGUUGAUCCAGAGAUUUCCGAAUGGGGGAACCCACUAUCUUUAGUCGGAUAGUAUCCUUACGUGAAUACAUAGCGUGAGGAAGGCAGACCCAGGGAACUGAAACAUCUAAGUACCUGGAGGAAGAGAAAGAAAAAUCGAUUUCCUGAGUAGCGGCGAGCGAAACGGAAAGAGCCCAAACCAAGAAGCUUGCUUCUUGGGGUUGUAGGACACUCUAUACGGAGUUACAAAAGAAAGUUAUAAAUGAAGCGGUCUGGAAAGGCCCGCCAAAGACGGUAACAGCCCGGUAGUUGAAAUAGCUUUCCCUCCAGAGUGGAUCCUGAGUACGGCGGAACACGUGAAAUUCCGUCGGAAUCCGGGAGGACCAUCUCCCAAGGCUAAAUACUCCCUAGUGACCGAUAGUGAACCAGUACCGUGAGGGAAAGGUGAAAAGCACCCCGGAAGGGGAGUGAAACAGUUCCUGAAACCGUGUGCCUACAAGUAGUUAGAGCCCGUUAAUGGGUGAUAGCGUGCCUUUUGUAGAAUGAACCGGCGAGUUACGAUUUGUUGCAAGGUUAAGCGGAAAAAGCGGAGCCGUAGCGAAAGCGAGUCUGAAUAGGGCGCAUAAGUAACAGGUCGUAGACCCGAAACCAGGUGAUCUACCCAUGUCCAGGAUGAAGGUAAGGUAAUACUUACUGGAGGUCCGAACCCACGCACGUUGAAAAGUGCGGGGAUGAGGUGUGGGUAGCGGAGAAAUUCCAAUCGAACUUGGAGAUAGCUGGUUCUCUCCGAAAUAGCUUUAGGGCUAGCCUCGAGGUAAAGAGUCAUGGAGGUAGAGCACUGUUUGGACUAGGGGCCCUUCUCGGGUUACCGAAUUCAGAUAAACUCCGAAUGCCAUGUACUUAUACUCGGGAGUCAGACUGCGAGUGAUAAGAUCCGUAGUCGAAAGGGAAACAGCCCAGACCACCAGUUAAGGUCCCCAAAUAUAUGUUAAGUGGAAAAGGAUGUGGGGUUGCUUAGACAACCAGGAUGUUGGCUUAGAAGCAGCCACCAUUGAAAGAGUGCGUAAUAGCUCACUGGUCGAGUGACCCCGCGCCGAAAAUGUACCGGGGCUAAACAUAUUACCGAAACUGUGGAUGAACCUCUUUAGAGGUUCGUGGUAGGAGAGCGUUCUAAGGGCGGUGAAGUCAGACCGGAAGGACUGGUGGAGCGCUUAGAAGUGAGAAUGCCG